rnacentral:lncRNA from 1 species
UUAUUCUCUGGCAUCAUCGCCCUCAUGACUGCUGCAGUGAAAGGAUGGAGACCCGCUUUCCGAUCAGGACGCUCUGUCAACGCCAACAGAUUUUCCAGGGCCACGUUUUCAGGGGCCACAUUGUCUCCAUUUUGGGCAGCAUUUUGAGAAUUUCUUCUCUUGGCGUCACUCACCUCCACUGCUCGUCCUGCAUCCUGGACAGUGUGACUAC